rnacentral:rRNA from 1 species
GGGGGGGGCAAGCGUUGUUCGGAAUUACUGGGCGUAAAGGGCUCGUAGGCGGCCAACUAAGUCAGACGUGAAAUCCCUCGGCUUAACCGGGGAACUGCGUCUGAUACUGGAUGGCUUGAGGUUGGGAGAGGGAUGCGGAAUUCCAGGUGUAGCGGUGAAAUGCGUAGAUAUCUGGAGGAACACCGGUGGCGAAGGCGGCAUCCUGGACCAAUUCUGACGCUGAGGAGCGAAAGCCAGGGGAGCAAACGGGAUUAGAUACCCCGGUAGUCCUGGCCCUAAACGAUGAAUGCUUGGUGUGGCGGGUAUCGAUCCCUGCCGUGCCGAAGCUAACGCAUUAAGCAUUCCGCCUGGGGAGUACGGUCGCAAGGCUG